UUUGGGCCAACAAAACUCACGUGGUGCCGAUCAAGCGUAUAUAGGCACUCCGCACGACGGCUUCGUGGGAUUUGGAGCCGGCACACUUGCCGACAUGACGCUAAUGCAACUGUUGCUGGUGCAGGUUAGUCAUUACUACCCAUCUCAAUCGCGGAGACUAGUAUAUGCAUUGCCGGCUCCUCCCACGUUGCCAAGUGUUCGUAACAAAAACCAUAAAUGCAUGAUGAAUACUUCGCGUUUGAAGAGAUUCCGGUUAUUUUCUAACAGAGUGUUGUAUUUGAUUUUGUUGUUAAUACUCGCGGGGGAUGUUGAACUAAACCCAGGUCCUUCUAAGACACCGGAGAUGGAAG